AUACAACUUGUAAAUCUUGGGUCUGAAAUUUAGUUUAGUUCUAUGCUCCUUUGAGCAGAGACAUGUUAGACUUGCAUGCAUUUCUUCCCUACAGGGCUGCUGCCGGCGCUGUGUCUGGGAAUCGGCCUGACUUCCCUUCUUCUUUUCCCACUUCUCAUCAUGUAUCUACGAAAAUCAAGACAAGCCGCACCAGCCACUGAGAAUCAGCCCAAGGCUCCGUCGUCUGUUCAAGAUCCGAUCCCUUUGGUUCCUCUGUCCCUGGGUACAGUCGACCCUUGCGAGAUCCAUUUGGAAUUUAUUCCUGACCAUGUUUCCACUGAGCCCUUCUCUGGCAUCGUGUCCAAUCAGAAUCUAAAUCACAAACAGGGAAUCAUGCACUCCAGCAAUCGUCUCAAUUAUGACACCAAAUCGGAUGAAGUGUACUGGGACAGCGGAGGGAUGGAGCUAGGUUGCGGCCUGGACUCUGGCAUCAGCAUCCCACCUGUUUCUCGCUCCUCUGAAGAGACAUGUGGGCCCCUUGGAGACUGAUACUGAAAGGCUGAGAGCUUUCUCUUUGUAAAUGUUGCUCUGUAAGGCUGGAGUUUGCCUCUUUCUCCCUCAGGGAUGAAAUAGGAGACUAAACUGCUCAAAGUAUGGACAAACACAUUAUGAUUAUCUGGAAGCUGAAAACAAGUUGUCUUCAUAGAUUUUGGAAGCUAAACCUUUAAGCAAACAUUGAUGAGAAGGCCCUAAACACAGGAUAAAUGGAAGCCUUAAAAACAACAGUUUCAGAAAACCUUUUCUGCUGAUGAAGACCAAGUGAUAGGACUGAAACCUACAGACUGACUGUUAAAUAGAUAUCUGGGUUCAAAAAUGAACUGUAAUAGGAAACAAUUGUCUUUUCCCCAGUUUGUAAGUACACAUACACAAAAUCUUUAGCUGAAGUCGAGAGCACCUGGUUAGAUUUUUUUUGUCUGCAAAAAAUAAAUCUGCAGAACUGAGUUAAUUACAAUCACAUUAAAAAAGAACGUUUUCACAGGACUGGAUAGAGUCUUAAAAAAUAAGUAUACCCCAUGAUUUGGGUAUCCAGAGGAGUUCAUGGUUCACACAAUGACUCCAAGGUGUCCAGGUCCCGUGGCUGCAAAACAAGUCUAAAUCAUCACCGCUCCACCACCGUGUGUCACAGUGGCUAUGAUGUGUUUGGGUUUUCUCCAAAUGUGGUGCUGUGCUUCAUGGCCACAAUCUCCACUUAGGUCUCAUCUGUCCAAAGAACAUUGUUCCAGAACUUCUGUGGUUUGUUCAGAUGCAACUUUGCAACCUCAGCCGAGCUGCCUUUUUUCCAACAAACUCUCCAAACACACCAAAAAAUGCUCAGUUUUUUUCUUUGUACUGAUAUGAACCAUGCAAUUUAAGUGGCUAACUGAGCCCUGUAGCAUCUGAGAUAUAGCUUACAGGUUUUUGCUGUUUCUCAAAGACUUGCACUGUCUGACCUUGAGGUGAAUUUGCUGGGAUGUAAACUGGGAAGAUUUAGCAAUGCGUUAAAACACAAAUCGGGUAACUGCCAAAACGUCUGCUUGCAUAGAGGCUGUCAGACUUGCUGAUGAUCGGGUAAUCAAGUGCAUUUGAUUAUCACCACCUGGCCGCUACUUACCCUCUUAAUUUCUGUCAAAGCAGUAAAAGAUGUAUUUAGUUUUUCAUAGGACUGCACCGAGCCUGUGAACGCUUUCUUUUCCCAUGACUGCAGACCGCUCCGUACUGCAACUACAAAGACAACAGUUUGAACCAUUAAGAUCUGUUAGCUUAAUAUUUUAACCUUUAUUCAACUACUUCUAGUACAAAAUAACAGUGAUACGUUGUGUUCACCAGUGACCAUUUUUACCCAGUUAUCCAGUUGUGCUAUUAGCUAUUUCGACUGUUAUCCCUGCUAUUAGCUUGCAACUGAAAUGCUAGCCACUGCACUAUUGUGUUUCAAUUGUCUAUCCAUGAUAUCCAGUGGUAUCAUUUUCUUCUCAAAUAUGUCUAACUGUUAGCCAUAUUGCUUUUUAAUGAUCAAUUUCUAUCAUUUGUUCACAUUUUGGAUGUAUAUAUUUACAAAUUAUUACAUGGGCUGACCUCCUGGGAAGAUUGUAGCAACACAUUAACGCACAGUUGUGCUAUCAGCUAUUUCAGCUGUUAUCCUUGUUAUCUUACAAUUCACAUGCAAGCAACUGUAUUUUAACUGUUUAUCCAUUAUGUUUGAUGCAUUACCUUUUGAAAUAUGAUAGCCAGACUGCUUUUAAUUACCCUUUUCUAUCAUUUUGACCAAUAUUUUUUUAAAUAAUUUAUGCAUAUUGCCAUUACUUAGUUUUUUAAUUCUGCUUCUUAUUUUUUUGAAGGGGCGGGGGGGCUGCCAUGCUUGUUCAAGUCCACCCAGUUCUGUAAACCCCCAGCUGCUGUAGAAACAGGCUACGUCCUAAUUGGGAGUUACUGUGAGGCUUAUAAUGGGUCCUCAGCACCCAAUACUUGUCUUCUAUUUUGGUUCUAAUGAACAGACUGGCUGCUGUGUUGGUUGGUCAGGGGUAGCAGGGUUGUCCAAUGAGUUUUCACGAGUUCACACCCCCCAAGGAGCGUCUUUGACGUGGAUAAUGGCUCCCUUAGGUUUGUUUGGGUGCCGCCUGUGCUUAACUCGGACCUCUGAACUUUCCUUCUCAGAUUAGGCAUCACAUUGCAGAGAGACCGAUAAACAGAGGCCACCGGUUUACUGCUCACAUUAUGAUUGUGUUUUGUUGUCAGCUAUGAAGUAAUAGAAAUGUGGCUCCUAAUCUGAAACCUACAAGCAGAUUCCUGUCAGAUAUGAGUCAGUGUUGCAGGAACAGGGUCAGAGAACUGAAUGGUGAGUGAAAUUUAUCAGUCAAGCAAAAAUUGUUUAUCUGGGAGGUCCAAAAGAAGCCGUUUUGUGUGCGUGUGUAAACAUCAACUUACUCGGAGAAUGGUUCUUGUCCCCCCUGCUUUUUGUGCUGAAUUCCAGUCCAAACCAUAGCUUCAUAAACAAGAGCUAGGAAAACUUUAGACCCCCCACAUACUGCCGGCAGCUCUGCCGAUAACAUAGUGUGUUAUUUUUCUGUCAUUCAUUGCUGUAAAAUGUUUCUGACUCACAGUUGCCCCAUCAGAGCUUUGCUGCCUCUAACCCGUGACUCGCACCUCAUCCUGCAUGAAGACAAGAAACAUCUUGACAUCUCACUUUUUUGCCUUCUGUUUUGCUGGUGUUGCAUUCUUUCCGCAACAUUGGGAAGUCCUGCGGGUUUGGCCAUCCAAUAUUGUUUGUUUCCCCAUCUAACUUUUCCAGAGUCCACAGAGACCUGGGGGGUUACCAAAGCUACACAUAGAAGCCUUUGGUUUGGCUUUUUUAAUAACUACAGCGCAUUAUCUGCCAUUUGUAUUAUUCAAGAAGGCAAGAAGUUUUCUUGGAAGGGGUAUUUUUAUCAACCUCCAGUCUGUGACAGCUCUCUGCUUCCUGAUAAUGAUAUGGAGUUUACCUAUAACACUUGUUUACAAACUGAUAACUUAUCCUUGUAACAAAAACUUUCGUUAUCUUAAAGGUAAUCACGUUUUUCAGUUGAGGCUUUGUUAGUUCUGUUGAAAGUGAUGGCUGUUUAAUCUCAUGGCUAAUACCUAAUCUACAUGUAGUUUAACACAACUUUACACAAUAAUGUUUAGAGCACCUCUUGACCAUUUCACAGCAGUGAGGUUUCUAUGUUUCUCUGGUUUGGAUGGUCUUGUGUGUGCUGGUCCUUGAGAGACUCCUAAUUUACAAAGUAAUUACUUCAUUGUAUAAAGCAACAAACAAUGUGAGGAAAAAAAUAACAUCUUUGUGAUUUCUAACCCUUGAAUGCAGCUCAGCUACAAAAGGGUUUGAUAAAAAUAGCACUGGUACUAAAACACUGAUUACAGUGUAGCGAAUCUCUUCAUGAGUGAAAUGAAGAGUAAUUCCUACCUGGUAUUAUGUGAAAAACAAAUUGCCUCCUAAACCUAAUAACUGGUUUUGCCACCCUUCCCACUAAGAACUGCAAUCAGGCAUUUGUGAUUACUGGCAGUGAGUCUCUCACAUCACUGUGGAGAUAUUUUAGCCACUCUUCUUUGCACAAUAGUCGUCCCAUUGGAGACUUUCCCAGCAUGAGCGACCUUUUUAAGGUCCUUUUAAAGGUCAUGCCAGAAUAUUUUAAUUGGAUUUAAGUCUGGACUUUGACUAGCCCACUCCAAAACCUUCAUUUUGUUUGUUUAGCCAUCUUGGAAUUGGAGUCCUUGUUGUGUUUCUGAUCAUUGUCCUGCUCUAUAACCUGAGUGCUCUUGAGCUACAGGGCAUGAACUGAUGGUCAGAUACUCUCCUUCAGGAUUGUUAGUAGAAAGCAGAACUCAUAGUUCCAACAAUUACAGCAAAGCAGCCCCAGACCAUCACACUACCACCACCAUGUUUGACUGCUGGUAUGAAAUGCUGUGUUAGUUUAUGUCUGCUCAAAUGGGACUCCAACCUUUCAAAAAGUUAAAUUUAUUUUAGGUCAGCAGUAGUUUUCUCCUUGAACUCUCCCAUGGAUGUCAUUUUUGCCCAGUCUCUCUCAUAUUGUUGAAUCAUGAACUCAGAAAUCAGUAAAAGGGGCAAAUAGGUUUCCUCUUUAAUAUAAUAAAGAUACUGUUGGAUGAUUAACCAUUGUGAAGUAAAACCUGUAGGUCAAAACUUCAGCUAAUACUGAAUUAGACAAGAGGUUUGUUUUCAGUGAAGAUUUGAAUCAUAUUGGAGGGACAGAGGACCUGACCUUAGUUGAGGGGAGGUAGAUCCAGAAUUUCCAGGAAGGCCUCUUUAUUUAUUCUCUGUCAUCUGAUCAGGAUAUUUGGUUUAGAUAGAUUUGUUUCAUAGAAAAGAGCAUCUUCUUGAGCCAAUGUGUAAAUCUUCCAGGUCAAAAGAACGAUUCUGUUUGUGGUCACCGUUCUUGGGUACAGAGCAAUCUGCAUGGCGAAUGAAAACUGCCAGUUUGUGGUUGAACCUGAUGUAUUUGGACUGUUUUUUGAGAGCCAUUCAACAGCUGCAGUCCAAAAGUUGCAUAAUGUCAGGAAAAACCAAAACAAACCAAAAAAACCCAGAUGUGCUUACAGACUCAGAAAACAUUGGUUCAGUUUAGUUUAAGUAUUAAAGUGUACACAUCACCUUGCUGAUAAAUGACACUAAUAUUCACCUUUUAUUCUCAUAUUAACAUUUAAGAGACCGAAUUAAUAGUUACAGAUUUUAAUAAAAACUACCAUAAAAGUUUGAGACUGUUCAUUUCUUUGUAAAUGAGCAAACUUACAAAUCGAGCAGGUGGUCAAAUAAUUAUUUUCUUAACUGUACAUUUAGAGUAAGGCUGAACUUGAUAACUAACAGAACAAACACUCUGGAUAAUUUAACAUAUUUCAACUUGUUGUUACACACUUAUGAAACAAAUAACAAACUUAUCAGAAAUGGAUACUAAUAAAUGUAUAUCUUCUGCUUGAAUCAUACACGCUGGCUUAUGUUUCAUGUCUCUGUGCCUGGCAGGAAAUACUUAGUCACUCGUUCAGUGACUCAUCGGCCCUCUUGGGGUUCGACUUGUUUCCACCCCCAGCGUCGACAGUAUGGCCGUCUGCAGAUGGGCAGCAAUGCUCAAUUAAGAAACAUGCUGCAUGUCAAAAACACUGCAUGUCAGCACUCUUUUUGGACUCAAACGAUUAAAAAAAAAAAUAUAUAUACAGAACAGUGCUCACGUUUAGUUGUAACAAGAGUCUUUUAUUUGGCCAUACAUUAGAUUUCAAUCAUUCGUUCAGGAUUUAAUAUACACGAUAUAUACAUAAGCAAAUAAAAGACGUCAGCGUCCUCGUCUUGCAGUAAAGGUUGGCAGUGCAAUCUUGGCCUUUUUAACAGUGUCACUGGGUUCCUUUCAUCUUCUCCCACUCACACGUGCACCCACGCAGACGGCGUCGGUCGGCCCGGAGCCGUUUGAUCCUGCUGCUCAAGUUCGGUCCAGUUCAGCCUCGCUCUUCUGUUCAUCUGCGCCAA